rnacentral:rRNA from 1 species
GACGUAGGGUGCAAGCGUUGUCCGGAUUUAUUGGGCGUAAAGAGCUCGUAGGCGGCUUGUUGCGUCGACUGUGAAAACCCGCGGCUUAACCGCGGGCUUGCAGUUGAUACGGGCAGGCUAGAGUUCGGUAGGGGAGACUGGAAUUCCUGGUGUAGCGGUGAAAUGCGCAGAUAUCAGGAAGAACACCCGUGGCGAAGGCGGCUCUCUGGGACGGUACUGACGCUGAGACGCGAAAGCGUGGGGAGCGAACAGG